rnacentral:rRNA from 1 species
GAGUGAUGAAGGCCUUCGGGUCGUAAAACUCUGUCCUCAAGGAAGAUAAUGACGGUACUUGAGGAGGAAGCCCCGGCUAACUACGUGCCAGCAGCCGCGGUAAUACGUAGGGGGCUAGCGGUAUCCGGAUUUACUGGGCGUAAAGGGUGCGUAGGCGGUCUUUCAAGUCAGGAGUGAAAGGCUACGGCUCAACCGUAGUAAGCUCUUGAAACUGGGAGACUUGAGUGCAGGAGAGGAGAGUGGAAUUC